rnacentral:tRNA from 1 species
GGCGAGUUGGCCGAGUGGUCUAAGGCGCGGUCCUUGGAACACCAGGUUUCACCGGGGUCCCGGGUUCGAAUCCCGCCAUCGCCU